rnacentral:rRNA from 1 species
UCAAGGUUGACCUCAGAUCAGGUAGGAAUACCCGCUGAACUUAAGCAUAUCAAUAAGCGGAGGAAAAGAAACAACAGGGAUUGCCUAGUAACGGCGAGUGAAGCGGCAACAGCUCAAAUUUGAAAUCUGGCCUCACGGUCCGAGUUGUAAUUUGUAGAGGAUGUUUCUGGCGACGUGCUUUCCGAGUUCCCUGGAACGGGACGCCAUAGAGGGUGAGAGCCCCGUACGGUUAUGCGCCUAGCCUCUGUGAAACUCCUUCGACGAGUCGAGUAGUUUGGGAAUGCUGCUCUAAAUGGGAGGUAUACGUCUUCUAAAGCUAAAUAUAGGCCAGAGACCGAUAGCGCACAAGUAGAGUGAUCGAAAGAUGAAAAGCACUUUGAAAAGAGGGUUAAAUAGUACGUGAAAUUGCUGAAAGGGAAGCGCUUAUGACCAGACUUGGGCUCGGUGAAUCAUCCGGCGUUCUCGCCGGUGCACUUUGCCGUCCCAGGCCAGCAUCAGCUCGCCCCGGGGGAUAAAGGCUUCGGGAAUGUAGCUCCUUCGGGAGUGUUAUAGACCGUUGUGUAAUACCCUGAGGCGGGCUGAGGUCCGCGCUUUUGCAAGGAUGCUGGCGUAAUGGUCAUCAGUGACCCGUCUUGAAACACGGACCAAGGAGUCGUCUUCGUAUGCGAGUGUUCGGGUGUCAAACCCCUACGCGGAAUGAAAGUGAACGUAGGAGAGAGCUUCGGCGCAUCUCCGACCGAUCCUGAUGUUCUCGGAUGGAUUUGAGUAAGAGCAUACGGGGCCGGACCCGAAAGAAGGUGAACUAUGCCUGUAUAGGGUGAAGCCAGAGGAAACUCUGGUGGAGGCUCGCAGCGGUUCUGACGUGCAAAUCGAUCGUCAAAUAUGGGCAUGGGGGCGAAAGACUAAUCGAACCUUCUAGUAGCUGUU